rnacentral:rRNA from 1 species
UACGUAGGGGGCAAGCGUUGUCCGGAUUCAUUGGGCGUAAAGAGCGUGUAGGCGGCCAGGUAGGUCGGUUGUGAAAACUGGAGGCUCAACCUUCAGAGGUCGACCGAAACCAUCUGGCUAGAGUCCGGGAGAGGAGAGUGGAAUUCCUGGUGUAGCGGUGAAAUGCGCAGAUAUCAGGAAGAACACCCGUGGCGAAGGCGGAUCUCUGGGCCAUUACUGACGCUGAGGUGCGAAAGCUAGGGGAGCAAACGGG